AACUGGAAAGAAAGUUUUUAUUACGAAUGGCUUCUAUCGUCAGCUGCUGUAGUUAUCGAUAAUCUAAAUUUGACAAUUCGACAACCAGCAAGCGGCUGUAAACAAUCUGUGCGAGUAAAACUAAUAGGCGGCAUUUAUUGUUGUUGACUCGCCUUCAACUACACACAGUUGACACAUAAUUAUUUUCACAAAUACAUCCAAACUGAGUCGCGAGUCAGACGCAACGUGUAUGCCGCCUAUAAAUGAUUAAAAUAAAGGGGUUUGAAGAAAAGAGCAAUAAAGCUAAAUUCAUCACAAUUAUUUGUUUAAGAGGAAGAGAAGUAAAUGAACGCGGCCUAAACCAGGAAACAUUUAAUGGAUUAUUCCGCUAACGCGUGCACUCAUAUUGAGGACUUCCAGAUGAAGCUGUAGUAUAAUUGGUUAAUAAACAUAGGAACCACUUCGUUCAACUUCAAUACCUGCGCUCAUAAAACUUGCGCACAUCUUCGAUUUUUAGCAGAAGUGCCACAGCAAUGACUUUAAUUUGGAAAAUUUGGUGUAUCGGUAGUUUUAACAGAAGAGCUACGGUUGAUAAAGGAAAAAAUGUGCUAUCAGUUCGCUUUUGUUUCGCCAAAAGGGCGUUGUUGCUUCGCCAAAAGGGCGUUAUUGUUCUGUUAUUUUCACUAUAUUCUGUAAAAGCAAACUGCAUUGCAAAAUGUUAAUAUCGGUCAAAUUGUUAAAAAGGAAAAUAUAUGA